UCCUCAGUAGUAUAGUGGUUAGUAUUUCCGCCUGUCAAACUGAUAGCACCGCGGGAGACCAGGGUUCAAUUCCCUGCUGGGGAG